CAUUCAAUGUUACAGGAAGCUGUAAGGCGCCUUCACAAUUCGGAAAACAACCCACAUAAAUAUGAUCCACAAACUGGAAUAAGUUCGCCUCGUAACCAAGCAGUCAUGACUUAUCUGCUAGAGGAAUUGAAAACAACUUUUGCAGAUGCAGACCCUGAGUCUAUACAAGUGUGUUGCAAGACAUACUUUGAAACACUUCGGAGAAAGUACAAUUUGUCUCAGCCAGAAAAGUCCCAGCUAAGAGAUGCCAUUAAAACAGGAGCUAAAACC